UACGUAGGGUGCAAGCGUUGUCCGGAAUUAUUGGGCGUAAAGAGCUCGUAGGCGGUUCGUCGCGUCGGCUGUGAAAACCUGAGGCUCAACCUCAGGCCUGCAGUCGAUACGGGCUAGCUAGAGUGUGGUAGGGGAGAUCGGAAUUCCUGGUGUAGCGGUGAAAUGCGCAGAUAUCAGGAGGAACACCGGUGGCGAAGGCGGAUCUCUGGGCCAUUACUGACGCUGAGGAGCGAAAGCGUGGGGAGCGAACAGG
rnacentral:rRNA from 1 species